rnacentral:rRNA from 1 species
CCUACGGGAGGCUGCAGUGAGGAAUAUUGGGCAAUGGGGGCAACCCUGACCCAGCCAUGCCGCGUGAGUGAAGAAGGUCUUCGGAUUGUAAAGCUCUUUCGGACGUGACGAUGAUGACGGUAGCGUCUAAAGAAGCACCGGCAAACUUCGUGCCAGCAGCCGCGGUAAUACGAAGGGUGCGAGCGUUGUUCGGAAUUACUGGGCGUAAAGGGAGUGUAGGCGGAUAUGUAAGAUAGCGGUGAAAUGCCGGGGCUCAACCCCGGAACUGCCAUUAUGACUAUGUAUCUCGAGUAAUGGAGAGGAUAGCGGAAAACCCAGUGUAGAGGGGAAAUGCGUAGAUAUCGAGAGGAACAAUCGUGGCGAAGGCGGGUUCCUGGACAUUAACUGACGCUGAGGCACGAAGGCCAGGGGAGCGAAAGGGAUUAGAUACCCGAGUAGUC